GGAAGGGAUAUGAUGGCACUAUGCACGAACUGUAGGUUACCACAGCAACGCUCCGAGCCACAUUCCCUCAUUCUGCACAAAGCCACUGGACCACUAGGGAGUGUAAUGUCCCUCUCCAAGUCUUCAGGUAAAAGGGUGCAUGCAUGAGUGUAUAUGAAUGUGAAAUAUCUUUUGGAUUAAUUUAAAUAAAUAUCAUAAAAAGGGAUGGAGCAUAUGUGAUGUCAUGACGUGUGGAUCAUAUGGGUAGGACAUUGUGAUGUCACAGUAUGUGGGUGCAACAAAUUAUUUUAUUACCUUGGUAGGAAAAAAAAAUCCUUGUACUGCCCCUGAGAGAUGGUCUGCAGUUAGGGGGAAUCCUGCAUAGGAUGUUGUAUGUUAACUCGUUUCUUGCAAACUCUUGCUUACGUAGCUUUCCAAAUAGUAAGGCGGAGGCUAGCCUGUUUUGUCCAAUCACACAAAAGAGCUACUGUAGCACAAAUUGCGGAAAAAAAACAAUACUGACCACCAUAUAAAGGUGUCCGAACCCACAGUGCAUUCUAGUUGGCUGUGUCAGAAC